ACGGCUCAGUAACACGUGGACAACCUACCCUGAGGUCGGGGAUAAACCCGGGAAACUGGGUAUAAUACCCGAUAGAUCUAGAUCGCUGGAAUGCUUUUAGGUCUAAAGUUCCGACGCCUCAGGAUGGGUCUGCGGCCUAUCAGGGUAGUAGUGGGUGUAAAGUACCUACUAGCCUACGACGGGUACGGGUUGUGAGAGCAAGAGCCCGGAGAUGGAUUCUGAGACACGAAUCCAGGCCCUACGGGGUGCAGCAGGCGCGAAACCUUUACAAUGCUGGCAACAGCGAUAAGGGGACCUCGAGUGCUACGAUACAAUCGUGGCUGUCUAGUUGCCUAAAAAGCAAUUGAUAGCAAGGGCCGGGCAAGACCGGUGCCAGCCGCCGCGGUAACACCGGCGGCUCGAGUGGUAACCGCUAUUAUUGGGUCUAAAGGGUCUGUAGCCGGCUUAGUUAGUCUCUUGAGAAAUCUGGCCGCUCAACGGUCAGGCGUUCAGGGGAUACUGCUAAAGCUCGAGACCGGGAGAGGUGAGAGGUACUUCAGGGGUAGGGGUGAAAUCUUGUAAUCCUUGAGGGACCACCAGUGGCGAAGGCGUCUCACCAGAACGGAUCUGACGGCAAGGGACGAAAGCUAGGGGCACGAACCGGAUUAGAUACCCGGGUAGUCCUAGCCGUAAACGAUACUCGCUAGGUGUCGGCCACGGUGCGACCGUGGUCGGUGCCGUAGGGAAGCCGUGAAGCGAGCCACCUGGGAAGUACGGCCGCAAGGCUGAAACUUAAAGGAAUUGGCGGGGGAGCAC
rnacentral:rRNA from 1 species